UACGGAGGGUGCAAGCGUUAUCCGGAUUCACUGGGUUUAAAGGGUGCGUAGGUGGGCAGGUAAGUCAGUGGUGAAAUCUCCGGGCUUAACCCGGAAACUGCCGUUGAUACUAUUUGUCUUGAAUAUUGUGGAGGUAAGCGGAAUAUGUCAUGUAGCGGUGAAAUGCUUAGAUAUGACAUAGAAUACCUAUUGCGAAGGCAGCUUACUACGCAGAUAUUGACGCUCAUGCACGAAAGCGUGGGGAUCAAACAGG
rnacentral:rRNA from 1 species